GGUUCUAUAGUGUAGUUGGUUAUCACUUCGGAUUCUGACCCUCACAAGUCUUUCCGGCGACCCCGGUUCGAGUCCGGGUAGGACCU